AGUUUUUCAUCAAACAAUACAUCCAUUAUUUCACUUUGGUGAUUUUGGUGGCAAGGGUCGCAAAUUAUAGUUGGAAUUGCUGGAUCUACUUCCAUAUCCUGGAUGAGAAAAAUGACGAGAUAGCCAGCAGCCAGCAGCCAGGAGGAACCUCAACCUCGCUCAAUCAUGUGAUCACAAGUUCUAAUAUAAUAUGGUUUUAAGCACCUUUUUAAUGCUUCGCCACAGCCUACAGUUAUUUGUCGAUAAUAAUCGUUAGAAACUUAGAAUCCAGGGUUUUUAACUUCGUCCGUUUUUUUAAAGUUGUUUAUAAGUACAAGGGAGUGCCCCUAAAAUAGAAAGCACAAAUUAAUCUGAACAUUUUCUUAUUUUACUUUCUUCUGUUUUCAGAAUAAUCUAAACAUUUUUUUUAUUUUAUUUAUCUCAAAUUAGUAGGCACUUUCAUUUUUUUACCAUGGUUCCACAAUUAUAUAUUAGUUCCAUUAAACGAUUACACCUAUUUAGCGCAUAUUUUAUCUCUAUCAAUAAAAUUACCUAACUUUUUCCGCCUUUUGAUAAAAAAAAAACCCUCCAACUCAUAUCAUAACUAUUUUUUAAUAAAAUAACAUUUGAUAAGUGUAUUAUAACUUAUAAUCUUCUUAAACUACGUGUCUUAAUAAGAGUUCAUAUUUUUCUUAGACAAAGAGAGUCAGCAUAAAAUAUUGAUUGAUAAGAGAAAAAGUUAGUAUUAGGUCCCACAUUAUGUAAGUAUAAAGAGAUUCAUGUUUUAAAAUUGAGAUUGUUAGGCCAUGUUAUUUUGAUUUGAGCUGAAUUGAGCUCAACUAGACUGAAAUUAAAUGUAUUUCAUUGAAUUGAAUUAAAUUGAAUUGAACUUAAUGAAUUGAUCUGAAUAUUAAAUAAUAAGGAUUUUUUGUGGGAAAUGACCAAUUAAAAUAGGAUUUUUGUGGGGAAAAUCCACUUAAAUUUUUUUUUGGAGGGAAGGACCAAUUAAAAUACAUUCGUUGGCAACUAAACACCACAUUACAAUUUUCAAACCAAAUUGUCAACUUUCCGGCAUUAACAACUGGUUUCCCACCCAAAACCUCAGUUUUUUUGUUUGUCAACUUACAUCCUUUGCUUUCCGACAUUAACAAUUGAAUUACCCCCAAAAUCUUUUUUCUUUCUCUCUCUAAAAUUUUCAUGUCUUUUUCUUCUUCUCCUUCUUACC